GAUGAACGCUAGCGGCGUGCCUAAUGCAUGCAAGUCGAACGGGUAGUUGUCUUCGGACAAUUACUAGUGGCAAACGGGUGAGUAACACGUGGGGAUCUGCCCAGUAGUGGGGAACAACUCCGAGAAAUCGGAGCUAAUACCGCAUACGGUAGGUAUCGAGGGAUACCAUACUAAAGCCGACGUAAGAAGGCGCUAUUGGAGGAACCUGCGGCUGAUUAGCUAGUUGGUGGGAAAGGCCACCAGGCGAUGAUCAGUAGCUGGUCUGAGAGGAUGGACAGCCACACUGGGACUGAGAUACGG
rnacentral:rRNA from 1 species